UUCCCUUCCUGCAUCAUGUCAACAUCAUGAUAGUUGCCUUCCUAGCCGUCCAAUGACGCUACUGGCGUUAUCACAAUACGGCGCUCGCUCACCCUGGGAGAUUAGUAACGGCUGUUGCAGUCGACGCUUCAGCGUAUAACGGAAUAGAGUAAUAGCGAGGGUGUCCUAUUCCAGGAACUGCUUUUAUUAACUGAAGCCGGUGGUUUUUCGGCCAAGAGUUCAGUCCGAGUUGCAUUGGAUUAAAUAAUGAUACAUUCCGGAUAGGUGUGCACAUUCAUAGUUUCGCUUUUUGUCUGUUAUCACUCACUGCUGUUUACGGGAUACUAAUAGCUGUUAACUCAUAACUGUCUCACCGGCUGCAUAUUCGGGACCACUCGACCAGGACUAAGCUAUAUAAUAGGAGUUAUGCCUUGCUUUAAACGAUGUGCGUAUCCCUGGUUGUUGAUUUAUGUUUCAUAGGAUAGCUGAGAACUUGCAUUUAAGCUAGGAAUAAAGUGACUACUUUUGUAAUAACAAGUUCUGUUCUAAUCAAUACAUGCCACAAGUGUUUUGGUACUUCCAAGUUUAUCAUAAUAUCAGAAGAAACAUUUCUAGUCUGACUCAGUGGAUUACCGGAUGGUUGGACUGAACACUAUCACAUUCGUUCAGUUUAUUUAUCGGAAAUACUUAUUCUUAUAUUCAACACGUGAUGUGGCAUUGAAAUUGAAUGAAACUGCUUCAAGUGCGAGACAAAGCUGGAACCUGUUGGCUGAAAUAAAUCGUUUUAAGUCAAGAAACUAUUAACGAAAAAGACCUUAAAUUAGUUCUUUACUGCUGUAUUUAUCAAGCCUGGCACAGUUUCAACUUCUUUUAAAUAGGCAAUUAUCAAAAUUGCCCAGUUGCAUGACGAAAUUUAUUUUAGUAAGCUUACACAUCAAGCCGUUGUCAAGUCAAUACAUGUAUUAUGAGAAAGUUAAACGUGGAUACAGUUUGACACGUUUUGAUUGAAACUUCAGUAAAAAUAGGACACUUAUUCAAAUUUGGAUAACACGUGGCUUCCGUACAAGAUGUCGGAUAUGAACAUGAAUUACGAACAGUACGAGCAGGAUGAAGAACAAGACGUGGUUUUCAAUGGAUUAUCGGAAGAAGAAAUAGUCUUAUUAAAACAAAAAUAUUCUGGAUUAAAGGAUGAGCAAUAUCACUUCCUCACCAAUGAGGUAACUAAGGAGGAAGGGUGGAAAUGUUACUACGAUUAUUGGACACAGCCACAGCCUACAGGCGGUGGCCUCCACUGCAGUGCGGCCUGGGACACCUUUAUAUGUUGGCCAUCUACUCCAGCCAACACAACGUUAUACCGUCCAUGUCCUCCAAACUUUGGAUUCAAUUCAUCAGAACCGUUGGCAUGGCGGGCCUGUAACGAAAGCGGUAAAUGGGUCAAAGAUGACUGGACCAAUUAUACGGUGUGUUUACACUAUGCUAUAAAGCACAUGGGAUUGGAUGUGGAAGAUACUAAAAUUACAGGGGUAAUAAGUCCGGAGGAGGAGUACAAACUCAACCUACAACGGACCAUUGCGAACACCUAUUUCUACAUGUGCAUAGUAUCCCUCAUAUUUCUGCUGAUCACGAUGUUUUUAUUUUGUUACUUCAAGUCAUUGCAAUGCACAAGAGUCACGAUCCACAAGAACCUCGUUCUCUCGUUCAUUCUUCGAUUCCUUGUUAUUCUCAUUAUAACUGGUCCAUUGAUCUCGGGGAGCACAUUUAAACUUGGUGUUUAUCCGUGGUUAUGCCGAACCAUUAUAUCCUCCGAGUACUACUUGCUACUGGCCAACGUCUUCUGGAUGUUCGUGGAGGGAUUCUUUCUACACAACCGAGUGGCAAUAGCAUUCUUCAACUCUGAAAACUCUGCUGUUUUUUAUGUUAUUGGCUGGGUGAUUCCGGCGGCUUUUGUGAUCCCCUGGUUCGUGAUAAACGUGUUCAAGGAAAGCAGUCUGUGUUGGACCGGGGCGACUUCCAAACAUUGGAAUCUGCUCCUUAUUCUACCAGUUGGCAUUGCCUUAGGGAUCAAUUUGCUACUCCUCAUCAAUAUAGUCAGAAUUAUAGUAACAAAGUUACGGGCGAGUAAUACAAUGGAAACAGCUCAAAUACGAAAAGCAGUGCGAGCUACUGUCGUCCUAUUCCCAUUGCUAGGCAUCACCAAUAUGGCCUUCUUCUUUGACCCUGGGGAGGACCCAACGUUAAAAAAGAUAUACAGGAUCACAUAUGCAGUCAUGCAGCCUUCCCAGGGUAUCUUAGUGAGUUUCGUCUACUGCUUCUUGAACGGAGAGGUCCAGACAGCGAUUAAGAGGUGGUGGCAGAGGCGGCGCCUGCGUACUGUCGGAGGAAGUAGAAACCGCCGGAGAUCCUCCAGGACUUCCUCACUGUUCCUUAGCCAAACUGAGAACCAGCUCGUUCUGCCUCAAAUCACCGUCACACCCCUAUGAUGAGAUGUCACAGUUGCUGCAGAAAGUGAUCGACGCUUUUCAUGUUGUGUUUUGUUUGACGGAACCCUGUCGCUUUACAUGACGCAGUACAUCUGACUAAAGGCAAAUUUCUUCCAAAAGAAGAAGAAAUCAUCUUUCACAAGCAAAUCACGGCGGCGGACAAUAGGAUCGAGUGACUGUAACCAACCUACGUUUUCCAUAACCAACAAACAAAAGGAGCCAAUAACAAUUAUAGAGGAAAAUAUCAACCAAGUUCUUCAAAAUGGUGUGUCUUGUCAACAAGCUAUUAGAGCCCCGCUAGCAAAAGAGGAAAAUUUCGAUCUGAUUUAAGAUUAUUGAGUUUUCUGCUGACAUGUUCCCGUCAUGCUCCUGGCACAGUCUAUCAACGAAGUGACAAAUAUGCACCUCAACGAUGUAUGAGAACAUGUCUGGUUGGAAGAUGUGUUGGCCGGCACUCACUCACACAAUGUAUGUGGAUAAAUUGAUAAUAAAACUAACAUUGCUGUGAAUAGUCAUUCAUAGAAAAAGUGUACGCAUCGAUGGUAUUACGACAAGUCAAAUUUAAUAUUUUCAAGAAAAUAAGUAACGGCGUGUAGCGUUUUUGUUAGUUGGUAUAUUAAACGUCGAAAUACCUUUCGAUCUUACUGCGACAAGAGGAUCAGACCUGAGAUAUACUUUUUUCCGUGUUCUUGUUUCAUUGGAUGGGAUUUCUCUGUAGUCAUUGAAAGUACAUCGAGUUUCUCACGAAGUGUCAGGGUGCCGGUUUGAAAAAAGGAACAACGUGAUACCGCAUAUAUUGAACAUGACACGACUCCUGAGCUGAAACGUAGAUUCACAUAAUCAUCUUAGCGUUAACCUAUAUUCAAGUCUGACUAUUUAAAUAGAGUAUUAAUCGUAUUUUUGUCAAAUGUAUGAAACAUUUUAUGUUAUUUUUCAAAUAAAGCAAUUUAAAUUA